GUGUCAGCCGCCGCGGUAAUACGUAGGGUGCGAGCGUUAAUCGGAAUUACUGGGCGUAAAGCGUGCGCAGGCGGUUAUAUAAGACAGUUGUGAAAUCCCCGGGCUCAACCUGGGAACUGCAAUUGUGACUGUAUGGCUAGAGUGUGUCAGAGGGGGGUGGAAUUCCACGUGUAGCAGUGAAAUGCGUAGAGAUGUGGAGGAACACCGAUGGCGAAGGCAGCCCCCUGGGAUAACACUGACGCUCAUGCACGAAAGCGUGGGGAGCAAACAGGAUUAGAUACCCUGGUAGUCCACGCCCUAAACGAUGUCUAUUAGUUGUUGGGUUUUAAUUAACUUAGUAACGAAGCUAACGCGCGAAAUAGACCGCCUGGGGAGUACGGCCGCAAGGUUAAAACUUAAAUGAAUUGACGG
rnacentral:rRNA from 1 species